AAGCAGGACUUAACGACAAUACAGCUGGCAAGUGCUGUGCUCGUCCCCUGCUCCCCACGGCCGGCUACAACACUGUUUCUUAACUGUACUGUCUGCUGUAUAGCAGCCAGGGAUGCUCUGUCUCUUACAU
rnacentral:snoRNA from 1 species